GCUGUUUACGAAAUCAUCGGCAGUCUCGCAUUUGAUGGUGCUCCCACCGCAAGGAAACCGGGAGCCCCCUCUCCCCCGUCCCCCACAAAUCUCGAUCCGCACCCAAUCCACCACCGCACGCCGGAAAAUUCCACCACCGCCCGCCACCGUGCUCGCUCACCCCAUCCAUACGCGGAUUCCCCACCCCCGCGGUGCACCCGGCUGGAGGCCUGCGCCCAUGCGCCACCCAUCCCCCGGCCGUCCUAAUUGCGGCCCUCCGGCCGCCCGGGCCGCCCCCUGCUGCUGGUGGUGGCCACCACUCCCACACAGCCGCCCUCUGCUGGUGCCCGCCCAUCGCCGAGGUCGUCGCCCACACCCUGCAGCUGCUGUCUGCAUCGCCGGCCGGCUCCACCAAUGCACCGGGGAUCUUCGCUGCCCAAUCGAUUUCGCUAGCACGAAUCCGGCAGGCCACAGUCAGCGGCCGUGGAAGCCACAUCUGUGGAUAUAGCAGGUGCAUAGCAGACAGCACUUCCUGGGGCCUCCAAGAUGAUGCCGGGUGAUGCCGGAAAUCGAGUUCAGCCAUCAACCAACGCGCGUGCAUUACACCGUAAUGCGGAUGUGCGUUGAUAGAUUCCGCACGAAAACAUGGAGACCGGCCCAGAGCAUUUAGAUCGGCGCACAAGAAUCUAAAAAUACGCCAGACUGUUUUGUUUUACCAACGUCAUGUUCAGUUUUUACGACACGACAAAGUAUCUAGCUUCUUACGUCCAUUUUUAAUUGUAUUUACUACUAUGAUGGUUAAUGUUUUACUUGUAAUGUUUUAAUUGUAAAGAAAAAAACUACUCAAACAACUGAAAAUUACUACUAUUGUUUUCUCUA